UGGAAGCCCAGGGGAGGAUGCCAAGAAGCAACUAGAGGGAAAAGAGUUUGCUGAGGAACAUAGUGCUGGAGGCUCUCGGCCAGUGGGGCUAAGGCAUGGAGAAGUGAAAGCCAGAAUAGGAACCUCUAUCCCGCCCGCCCGCAAGAUCCAGCAGGAGGAACGGACUGUAAGGACGACUCGGUGUCUACUUUGUGCCAAGCACCUAGAGGCAGCUGUUACCACUCCCGUUUUACAGGUGGCUCUGAGGCUCACAGGAAGUGCCUGGCAGAUGGUGGCUGUUGUCACUAACACCACACCCUCUUGCUCAUCACUGGCUCAGUGUGCUCACCCACCAUGCCCUCUGAGACGCCUUGCCAGGAGCCCCUCCCCUGGAGACUAAGCCUCCUGAGUCCCUGGAGCCUGCGGGCCUUGGCACAGGCUGUUGUCCUUUUCCAUUUGCUGGUCUUGCCAGCCACAAUGGGCACUCCUUGAAUGCAGGCUAGAGCAUCCAGCCCUAGUGGGUGCUCAGAAAGCACAUUCUGGAUCCAUCCCUCCAUCCCGCCAACAUGUCCGGAGCGUCCAAGCUCUGCAAGGCCCUGAGAAUCAUGGGUAUCCCCAUACCCAGAGUCCUUCCCCCCUCAAGAUCAUACUUGAAUGAAGGAGACGGGGUGACAGCAGGGACAAUGGCACGUGGUAAGUGCCACCGUGGAGGCUGCGGAGCCCAGAGGAGGGCCAGACCCUGCCACUCUCAGCAGGUGAGUGGUGGGCCUGCCCUGGGCUGGCUCAUCACCCCUGCAGGAAGGACACACGUGCUGCUGUGAAUACCAACGUGGUGCCCCGGGGCCCCAGCAGGCCUGUCCCCACCACCUCCCCCAAAGGAUGAACCAGAAAUAGACCCGCUAUCUCCACACACCUGCAAGCCUGGCCAUGCUCUGGGGACCUGCAUUCACUCUGCUCCUCAGGGGAACCAGUGGAAAGAAAACAGGGCCUCAGAGUCUGAUCACUGCCAGGGGAGACCACAACCAAUUCUCUGGCCCCCACGGUUGAGCAUCAUACUGCCUGUUCCCACCUCAUCCGUGCUCUGCACGGUCCUGGUGUGCCUGACUGUCUAGGCCUGGGCACCCAGGCACCCCCACCAAUAUGUGCGUGGGCCAAAGCCCUUACCCACGGGCCAAGCACCGUGCUGGGCACUCUGGGGCCUGACAGGGGCCAAGCAGCCAUGGCUCGUGGUCACCGAUCAGCCACCAUGCAGCAGCCUGCAAGAACCCCCACGUGCAUUGUGGCAUUCAGUGCUCUCAGGGGCCCGGGCGUCACACACCAUCUCCUCGCUCCACAGAUGAGGACACGGACUCUGAGAGGUGAAGCAGUUUGCCCACACAGGUCCCCCACUCCUCAGCUGGAGCCUUUAACCCUGUCACCCCAGUGCAGAGCCCCUUCCCACAUGCUGGGCACAGUGCAGGUGGCACAGUCUUGGCCGCAGGCACUCGAGCAGGUACUCCAUGAGGUUGGGUUUGAGCUAAGCUUCCAAAGAGGGGACAAAAGGGGACCAGGCACUUCGGGGGACACAGCACAG